rnacentral:misc_RNA from 1 species
AGACACACUACAAACACGUGGUUGCGGCGGCACACGUGCAUGACUCGUGAGCGGACGCUGGUCGCUUUAAUCUGUUUAUUUCGCGACUUCGUGUAUCAUCAAGAAAUUAGUCUUAGAGUAAUCGCUGGCACACCUACGUCAUGACAUUGAUGGAGAGGAAGUUCACGAAGAGAAGAUGAUGGAGCAAGGAGUGGCCAAUGAGUGGGCAGCAUCAGUGGAGAGCACAGAACCUGAGAGCGGGCUCAAGAGAGACUCAAGUUCCAGUCACGGUGAGGACCCAAGUGACAGCCACUCUGACAGUGAUGAGGAGCAAGAACAGUGGAUGGAGAAAACAGCAAGUAGAAAAGCUGUCACUUGUCAGUCAUAUUUGUCAUCUGUGAAGAAAUCAUUAUUUGCAGGUAGAUUUGGCCCAGGUACUUCCUGAUGUCUUAAUUAACCCUAAAAGAGCUUGGUUACAUCGGACCACCUCAUCAAGAAAUGGGCUGUCCAAUGCUGGAUUUUUACAAAUGACUUUCCUUCUCAAGUUUUAUGUUAAUCUGUCAUAUGGUUUGACAGUCACUUGGAAGUUGGCAAUGGCAGUGGGAAAAGCAUACAUUCUUGGUUGACCUCUCUCAGAAAAAUGGUGCUGUGCCAGAACAGUAUGUUGGAUUUUCACAAAAAUGGUGUUCGAAUGACCAAAAUGAGUUAUUAAAAAAACUUCAGAAGGCUUCUAGAAAAUAUGCACCUUGAUAAUAUUGGAAAAUAUGUUAAAGGGGGUUAGAUUGAGCAAAUGGUUGCCUUGUCCCCUAGGGUUUCAUAAUUUGCUGUGCAGCACUGCUCUACAUCAAAGAAGAUGGAUUGGGGCAACUGUGGCAAUUGGCCAUCAAACAUUGUUUGGCCCCGUUCGUCCUUUUAUUAAAGUUUUUACCCGGCACAGUUCAGUUUUUCUUCCUCAUAAAUUGCCCAUUAUUACAAGCUGUUAUUAGAAGCCAAAGUGCACAUUAUGUGAAAUUCCUGACAUCCCUGUUUAGUGAAUAUUUUGAAAAGAAAAUUUAACAUAUUUUCUCAAGUUUUAAUAUGAUAGAGCACUGAGAACUUUGUUUCCAAAAAGAUUUCCAAACUAAAAUCUAGCUUAAUUUUGACAAAUAUUGAACCAACACACAAAAAGGGACCAUGUUGUAAACACUUGUCAGUAUUUUCAGUCACCAUCCAAAAUUUCCGAUUUGUAUCCAACUCAACAGACAUGUGUACACUGUUGCAAUAUUUCUGCCCACACUUUUGGGCUCAAUCGUUGAUUUCUGUAGGAGCUGUUGGUCCAUAGAUAUUUUAGGUUUGUGGUCUUCCCUGAUUGACGUUACAGUGUUACUGUAAAAUAGCGCCCUCACUUGUUAGGAAAAGGGAAAGACAAUUUUAAGUGUUUAAAAAUGUCACUUUUUGACUCACUAAAGCCUGAAGGGGUGUCUGGAAAAAUAUUAUUAACAAAGAAAACAAAUCACAAAUGUUUGUAGAA